UACGUAGGAUGCAAGCGUUGUCCGGAAUUAUUGGGCGUAAAGAGCGCGCAGGCGGUCUAUCAAGUCAGAUGUGAAAUAUCCCGGCUUAACCGGGAGGGGUCAUUUGAAACUGGUAGACUAGAGUACAGCAGAGGAUAGCGGAAUUCCCGGUGUAGUGGUGAAAUGCGUAGAUAUCGUAAGGAAAACCAGUGGCGAAGGCGGGUCUCUGGACAGCUCCUGACACUGAGGCACGAAGGCCAGGGGAGCAAACGGG
rnacentral:rRNA from 1 species